AACGAACGCUGGCGGCAGGCCUAACACAUGCAAGUCGAGCGCCCCGCAAGGGGCGCGGCGGACGGGUGAGUAACGCGUGGGAACGUACCCUUUGCUACGGAAUAGCCUCGGGAAACUGGGAGUAAUACCGUAUGUGUCCUUCGGGAGACAGAUUUAUCGGCAAGGGAUCGGCCCGCGUUGGAUUAGGUAGUUGGUGGGGUAAUGGCCUACCAAGCCGACGAUCCAUAGCUGGUUUGAGAGGAUGAUCAGCCACACUGGGACUGAGACACGGCCCAGACUCCUACGGGAGGCAGCAGUGGGGAAUCUGAGACAAUGGGCGCAAGCCUGAUCUAGCCAUGCCGCGUGAGCGAUGAAGGCCUUAGGGUUGUAAAGCUCUUUCAGGGGGGAAGAUAAUGACUGUACCCCCAGAAGAAGCCCCGGCUAACUCCGUG
rnacentral:rRNA from 1 species